UACGUAGGGACCGAGCGUUGUCCGGAAUCAUUGGGCGUAAAGAGCGUGUAGGCGGCUCGGUAAGUCCGCUGUGAAAGUCCAGGGCUCAACCCUGGGAUGCCGGUGGAUACUGUCGGGCUCGAGUCCGGAAGAGGAGUGUGGAAUUCCUGGUGUAGCGGUGAAAUGCGCAGAUAUCAGGAGGAACACCAAUGGCGAAGGCAGCACUCUGGGACGUGACUGACGCUGAGACGCGAAAGCGUGGGGAGCAAACAGG
rnacentral:rRNA from 1 species